UCAGUACAAAAAGAAUGGGAUGGUCUUAAGAGAUACUGUGAUUCAACUCAUAGCUUAAUGGACGCCAUUUCAGUAUAGAACUACACCUGCAGGCCAACUGAAAUAAGCAGCUAUUUCUGAUUUCUAAAAGUAAACACGUGAAUGAGGCAUUCUCCUGAAAUACAGAAAAAUUCUAACUUCAGUUCUUUUUCCUUCUGUAAUCCAAAUUGGCUGCAACCCUUCUUUUGAUGCUCAACACUGUCCUCCAUUUGAACGGUUUUCAUACUAAAUCCCUAUUUCAAAGCUUUACUGACUUUUUAGAUUGGCUACUUCAUGAUAACAAAUGGAGCUAAGGGACUGCUAUAUUCAUCUCUAUCUUCAGCAACUAAUUUAGCAGUGCUUAUUUUUUUAAAAUCUUGGAACACU
rnacentral:lncRNA from 1 species